GCCCUGGUAGCACAGUGGUUAAGCAUUUGGCUGCUAACCAAAAGAUGUGCAGUUCAAAUCUACCAGCCGCU
rfam:Loxodonta africana unplaced genomic scaffold scaffold_51, whole genome shotgun sequence.